rfam:Ornithorhynchus anatinus chromosome 7, whole genome shotgun sequence.
CCCCUCUCUGGGUCGCACCUGGUGAGUUUCCAGAACUCUACCGGCCUCGACUACGGGAGGGAGAGUCAAGCAGAGGCCUACCCAUUCCAUUCCUAGCUCGUGCAGUAGCUAGCGAGUGGAAGGCAAUCCGCUACAAGU